rnacentral:rRNA from 1 species
UACGUAGGGGGCAAGCGUUGUCCGGAAUCAUUGGGCGUAAAGAGCGUGUAGGCGGCCCGGUAAGUCCGCCGUGAAAGUCCAGGGCUCAACCCUGGAAUGCCGGUGGAAACUGCCGGGCUGGAGUCCGGAAGAGGCGAGUGGAAUUCCUGGUGUAGCGGUGAAAUGCGCAGAUAUCAGGAAGAACACCUAUGGCGAAGGCAGCUCUCUGGGACGGUACUGACGCUGAGACGCGAAAGCGUGGGGAGCGAACAGG